UCCCUGAAGAGUGAGGUGGGCAUCAGAGUGGACGGAGACGCUGAAGAGGGACUUCAGGAGCCUGAUCAAGACGGUGCGCAGCAUAUCGCCUGCAUGAUGAUCAUCGUGUCAGGACCACUUCCCACGUAUAGAUGAGGACAUGAAAGGCUUUUUAGAUCUCCUGUUGGACAACAUCUCCAGGACACUUCGCUCCAUAUGACUAGGCAGUUUGUGAAAAGAGAUAAUCAAGAGAAGUCAGUUCCAGAUCCACCCUCCACACCAGACCUCUCUCUCACGAGGAUUGCUGUCUACUAGCAUAUUGUGUUCUUCAGCUCUUCAGACUUCGGUGGAUGCAGAUAUUACUCAGGGACAUGAACACUAGAAUAUUGCAAGAAUAGAGAAAGUAAGAAUUACUUAAGAUUUUAGAAUUUAAUGUUAAUUGCUUAAACAUAUACAGUAUUGUUCAAAAUAAUAGCAGUACAAUGUGACUAACCAGAAUAAUCAAGGUUUUUAGUAUAUUUUUUAUUGCUACGUGGCAAACAAGUUACCAGUAGGUUCAGUAGAUUGUCAGAAAACAAACAAGACCCAGCAUUCAUGAUAUGCACGCUCUUAAGGCUGUGCAAUUGGGCAAUUAGUUGAAAGGGGUGUGUUCAAAAAAAUAGCAGUGUCUACCUUUGACUGUACAAACUCAAAACUAUUUUGUACAAACAUUUUUUUUUUCUGGGAUUUAGCAAUCCUGUGAAUCACUAAACUAAUAUUUAGUUGUAUGACCACAGUUUUUUAAAACUGCUUGACAUCUGUGUGGCAUGGAGUCAACCAACUUGUGGCACCUCUCAGCUGUUAUUCCACUCCAUGAUUCUUUAACAACAUUCCACAAUUCAUUCACAUUUCUUGGUUUUGCUUCAGAAACAGCAUUUUUGAUAUCACCCCACAAGUUCUCAAUUGGAUUAAGGUCUGGAGAUUGGGCUGGCCACUCCAUAACAUUAAUUUUGUUGGUUUGGAACCAAGACUUUGCCCGUUUACUAGUGUGUUUUGGGUCAUUGUCUUGUUGAAACAACCAUUUCAAGGGCAUGUCCUCUUCAGCAUAGGGCAACAUGACCUCUUCAAGUAUUUUAACAUAUGCAAACUGAUCCAUGAUCCCUGGUAUGCGAUAAAUAGGCCCAACACCAUAGUAGGAGAAACAUGCCCAUAUCAUGAUGCUUGCACCUCCAUGCUUCACUGUCUUCACUGUGUACUGUGGCUUGAAUUCAGAGUUUGGGGGUCGUCUCACAAACUGCCUGUGGCCCUUGGACCCAAAAAGAACAAUUUUACUCUCAUCAGUCCACAAAAUGUUCCUCCAUUUCUCUUUAGGCCAGUUGAUGUGUUCUUUGGCAAAUUGUAACCUCUUCUGCACAUGCCUU